rnacentral:rRNA from 1 species
GGUUAAGCGACUAAGCGUACACGGUGGAUGCCCUGGCAGUCAGAGGCGAUGAAGGACGUGCUAAUCUGCGAAAAGCGUCGGUAAGGUGAUAUGAACCGUUAUAGCCGGCGAUGUCCGAAUGGGGAAACCCAGUGCAAUUCGUUGCACUAUCGUUAACUGAAUACAUAGGUUAACGAGGCGAACCGGGGGAACUGAAACAUCUAAGUACCCCGAGGAAAAGAAAUCAACCGAGAUUCCCCCAGUAGCGGCGAGCGAACGGGGAGCAGCCCGGAGUCUGAAUCAGCUUGUGUGUUAGUGGAAGCGUCUGGAAAGUCGCAGGGUACAGGGUGAUACUCCCGUACACUAAAACACACAGGUUGUGAACUCGAAGAGUAGGGCGGGACACGUGGUAUCCUGUCUGAAUAUGGGGGGACCAUCCUCCAAGGCUAAAUACUCCUGACUGACCGAUAGUGAACCAGUACCGUGAGGGAAAGGCGAAAAGAACCCCGGCGAGGGGAGUGAAAAAGAACCUGAAACCGUGUACGUACAAGCAGUAGGAGCCCACUAGUUGGGUGACUGCGUACCUUUUGUAUAAUGGGUCAGCGACUUAUAUUCUGUAGCAAGGUUAACCGUAUAGGGGAGCCGCAGGGAAACCGAGUCUUAACUGGGCGUUAAGUUGCAGGGUAUAGACCCGAAACCCGGUGAUCUAGCCAUGGGCAGGUUGAAGGUUGGGUAACACUAACUGGAGGACCGAACCGACUAAUGUUGAAAAAUUAGCGGAUGACUUGUGGCUGGGGGUGAAAGGCCAAUCAAACCGGGAGAUAGCUGGUUCUCCCCGAAAGCUAUUUAGGUAGCGCCUCGUGAAUUCAUCUUCGGGGGUAGAGCACUGUUUCGGCUAGGGGGUCAUCCCGACUUACCAACCCGAUGCAAACUACGAAUACCGAAGAAUGUUAUCACGGGAGACACACGGCGGGUGCUAACGUCCGUCGUGAAGAGGGAAACAACCCAGACCGCCAGCUAAGGUCCCAAAGUCAUGGUUAAGUGGGAAACGAUGUGGGAAGGCCCAGACAGCCAGGAUGUUGGCUUAGAAGCAGCCAUCAUUUAAAGAAAGCGUAAUAGCUCACUGGUCGAGUCGGCCUGCGCGGAAGAUGUAACGGGGCUAAACCAUGCACCGAAGCUGCGGCAGCGACACUAUGUGUUGUUGGGUAGGGGAGCGUUCUGUAAGCCGUUGAAGGUGGCCUGUGAGGGUUGCUGGAGGUAUCAGAAGUGCGAAUGCUGACAUAAGUAACGAUAAUGCGGGUGAAAAACCCGCACGCCGGAAGACCAAGGGUUCCUGUCCAACGUUAAUCGGGGCAGGGUGAGUCGACCCCUAAGGCGAGGCCGAAAGGCGUAGUCGAUGGGAAACAGGUUAAUAUUCCUGUACUCGGUGUUACUGCGAAGGGGGGACGGAGAAGGCUAUGUUGGCCGGGCGACGGUUGUCCCGGUUUAAGCGUGUAGGUGUGUGUUCCAGGUAAAUCCGGUUCACUUUAACACUGAGGCGUGAUGACGAGGCACUACGGUGCUGAAGUGACAAAUGCCCUGCUUCCAGGAAAAGCCUCUAAGCAUCAGGUAACAUCAAAUCGUACCCCAAACCGACACAGGUGGUCAGGUAGAGAAUACCAAGGCGCUUGAGAGAACUCGGGUGAAGGAACUAGGCAAAAUGGUGCCGUAACUUCGGGAGAAGGCACGCUGAUGGUAGGUGAAGCGACUUGCUCGUGGAGCUGAAAUCAGUCGAAGAUACCAGCUGGCUGCAACUGUUUAUUAAAAACACAGCACUGUGCAAACACGAAAGUGGACGUAUACGGUGUGACGCCUGCCCGGUGCCGGAAGGUUAAUUGAUGGGGUUAUCCUCGCGGAGAAGCUCUUGAUCGAAGCCCCGGUAAACGGCGGCCGUAACUAUAACGGUCCUAAGGUAGCGAAAUUCCUUGUCGGGUAAGUUCCGACCUGCACGAAUGGCGUAAUGAUGGCCAGGCUGUCUCCACCCGAGACUCAGUGAAAUUGAACUCGCUGUGAAGAUGCAGUGUACCCGCGGCAAGACGGAAAGACCCCGUGAACCUUUACUAUAGCUUGACACUGAACACUGGUCCUUGAUGUGUAGGAUAGGUGGGAGGCUUUGAAGUGUGGACGCCAGUCUGCAUGGAGCCAUCCUUGAAAUACCACCCUUUAAUGGCUGGUGUUCUAACGUGGGCCCCUAAUCGGGGUUGCGGACAGUGUCUGGUGGGUAGUUUGACUGGGGCGGUCUCCUCCUAAAGAGUAACGGAGGAGCACGAAGGUCAGCUAAUCCUGGUCGGACAUCAGGAGGUUAGUGCAAUGGCAUAAGCUGGCUUGACUGCGAGCGUGACGGCGCGAGCAGGUGCGAAAGCAGGUCAUAGUGAUCCGGUGGUUCUGAAUGGAAGGGCCAUCGCUCAACGGAUAAAAGGUACUCCGGGGAUAACAGGCUGAUACCGCCCAAGAGUUCAUAUCGACGGCGGUGUUUGGCACCUCGAUGUCGGCUCAUCACAUCCUGGGGCUGAAGUAGGUCCCAAGGGUAUGGCUGUUCGCCAUUUAAAGUGGUACGCGAGCUGGGUUUAGAACGUCGUGAGACAGUUCGGUCCCUAUCUGCCGUGGGCGCUGGAGAAUUGAGGGGGGCUGCUCCUAGUACGAGAGGACCGGAGUGGACGCAUCACUGGUGUUCGGGUUGUCAUGCCAAUGGCAUUGCCCGGUAGCUAAAUGCGGAAGAGAUAAGUGCUGAAAGCAUCUAAGCACGAAACUUGCCCCGAGAUGAGUUCUCCCUGACUCCUUGAGAGUCCUGAAGGAACGUUGAAGACGACGACGUUGAUAGGCCGGGUGUGUAAGCGCAGCGAUGCGUUGAGCUAACCGGUACUAAUGAACCGUGAGGCUUAACCUU